ACAGGGAUUGCCCUAGUAACGGCGAGUGAAGCGGCANCAGCUCAAAUUUGAAAUCUGGCUCUUUCAGAGUCCGAGUUGUAAUUUGCAGAGGGCGCUUUGGCGUUGGCAGCGGUCCAAGUUCCUUGGAACAGGACGUCACAGAGGGUGAGAAUCCCGUACGUGGUCGCUGGCCUUCGCCGUGUAAAGCCCCUUCGACGAGUCGAGUUGUUUGGGAAUGCAGCUCUAAAUGGGAGGUAAAUUUCUUCUAAAGCUAAAUACUGGCCAGAGACCGAUAGCGCACAAGUAGAGUGAUCGAAAGAUGAAAAGCACUUUGGAAAGAGAGUCAAAUAGCACGUGAAAUUGUUGAAAGGGAAGCGCUUGCAGCCAGACUUGCCUGUAGUUGCUCAUCCGGGCUUUUGCCCGGUGCACUCUUCUGCGGGCAGGCCAGCAUCAGUUUGGGCGGUUGGAUAAAGGUCUCUGUCAUGUACCUCUCUUCGGGGAGGCCUUAUAGGGGAGACGUCAUGCAACCAGCCUGGACUGAGGUCCGCGCAUUUGCUAGGAUGCUGGCGUAAUGGCUGUAAGCGGCCCGUCUUGAAACACGGACCAAGGAGUCUAACAUCUAUGCGAGUGUUUGGGUGUCAAGCCCGAACGCGUAAUGAAAGUGAACGGAGGUGGGACCCCAUUAGGGUGCACCAUCGACCGAUCCUGAUGUCUUCGGAUGGAUUUGAGUAAGAGCAUGGCUGUUGGGACCCGAAAGAUGGUGAACUAUGCUUGAAUAGGGUGAAGCCAGAGGAAACUCUGGUGGAGGCUCGCAGCGGUUCUGACGUGCAAAUCGAUCGUCAAAUUUGGGCAUAGGGGCGAAAGACUAA
rnacentral:rRNA from 1 species